CCCACCCCCAACUCACCCUCCAGUCCAGCUGGGCACAGCCCCAGCCUUCUGCCACCCCUACCACCACCCCAGAGGGGCAGGAGGAGGGAGAAGAGGCCAACGGAACUGGCGUUUGAAGAAUUGCCUGAAGAAGACAGGAUAAGCAUCGUCAUUAUACAGGAGAGGAAAUUGAAGCCCAGGAGGGUGUGUGGACUGGCCCAAGGUAGUGACCAAGAACCGCAUCCGCACCCCCACCAUCAGGGUCCUGGACAGCAGCAGGUGUCCCGCAAGGUCUUGAGGGAUGGACAGUAAGGGAUGGAAGAAGGAUUGAAAGACAAGGAACUCUGCCUUUGAGGGUUAAUGAGGACUCGAUGAAAUAAAACUGUAAAGGAACCAGGUCUCCCAGAUGUGUCCUGAAUUCUCAGCUUGCGGAGGGGCCUUGCUGGGUGCACCCAGGCUGCUGUUGAGUGCAUCCAGGCUGUUGGUGAUGCAGUUGAAGUCUGGGUGCUCGGUGACUUGCCCCGGAUCCAGAGGAAGGGGACAGCAGCGGACCCAGGAGUAGGACCCAGGUCCUCUCUGACAUCACCACACCAAGGGGGUCCAGCUGAGAGGAGGACUGUGCACGGUCUUACUGGUGGGCAUGACGGAGGUCAAACCGAAGACUCCAGAGUGCGGCUCUGGGACAAGUCGACGUUUGGGCUGCUGUCUUGAAGAAAAAGGGCUGUUGUUCGUAACAGUGCUCAUGAAUGCUCCGUGGAAUCAGAGUGGAGUUGCUUUGAGCCCGAGCCAGAAUGUUCCAAUCAACCUUUGGCUCUGAUAAAGAUAAGCGGACCCAAGGUGAUAACACACAAAUCAAAAACUGUCAACAGGUGCUAAUUAGGGCACUGGGAGCUGAGUCACACCCACUACACCUGACGUGGGGAGAGAUCUCAGAUGGGGGAGCUGGGAUGAUCUGUGAGGAUAUGGACCCACUGCCUGUACCCCAGCCUAAUGGCCUUUGUUGUCACCUCCUCCUUCUAACGACUGUGCACCCCACCCCCACUCCUGCCUACAUGCAUUACAUAAGAUAGCACAAAAGAACAAAAUCUAGGGGUGCCUGGGUGGCUCGGUCAGUUAAGCAUCUGACUCUAGAUAUUGGCCCAGGACAUGAUCUCAUGGUUUGUGAGUUUGAGAUUCUUGUCACGAUCUCAUGGUUUGUGAAUUCGAGAUCCUUGUUGGGCCCUGCACUAGCAGCACAGAGCUUGAUUGGGAUUCUCUGUCUCCUCUCUCUCUCUGCCCACCCCUGCUCAUUCUCUAUC